UACGAAGGGGGCUAGCGUUGCUCGGAAUCACUGGGCGUAAAGGGCGCGUAGGCGGCGUUUUAAGUCGGGGGUGAAAGCCUGUGGCCCAACCACAGAAUGGCCUUCGAUACUGGGACGCUUGAGUAUGGUAGAGGUUGGUGGAACUGCGAGUGUAGAGGUGAAAUUCGUAGAUAUUCGCAAGAACACCGGUGGCGAAGGCGGCCAACUGGACCAUUACUGACGCUGAGGUGCGAAAGCGUGGGGAGCAAACAGG
rnacentral:rRNA from 1 species